rnacentral:rRNA from 1 species
GCUAACACAUGCAAGUCGAACGGUAACACAGAGGAGCUUUGCGGCUUUGCUGGCGAACCGCGGGAGGGUGAGAUAUGAUUGGGAACAUGCCUUGAGGAGGGGGACAACAGAUGGAAACGACUGCUAAUACCGCAUAAUGUCUACGGACCAAAGGGCGCUUCAGCUCUCGCCUUUAGAUUGGCCCAAGUGGGAUUAGCUAGUUGGUGAGGUAAUGGCUCACCAAGGCGACGAUCCCUAGCUGGUUUGAGAGGAUGAUCAGCCACACUGGGACUGAGACACGGCCCAGACUCCUACGGGAGGCAGCAGUGGGGAAUAUUGCACAAUGGGCGCAAGCCUGAUGCAGCCAUGCCGCGUGUGUGAAGAACGCCUUCUGAUUUGUGACAGCACUUUCAGUCAGGAGCUAACGGUUAG